rnacentral:rRNA from 1 species
UGGGGAAUAUUGCACAAUGGGCGCAAGCCUGAUGCAGCCAUGCCGCGUGUGUGAAGAAGGCCUUCGGGUUGUAAAGCACUUUCAGCGGGGAGGAAGGCGUUAAGGUUAAUAACCUUGGCGAUUGACGUUACCCGCAGAAGAAGCACCGGCUAACUCCGUGCCAGCAGCCGCGGUAAUACGGAGGGUGCAAGCGUUAAUCGGAAUUACUGGGCGUAAAGCGCACGCAGGCGGUCUGUCAAGUCGGGUGUGAAAUCCCCGGGCUCAACCUGGGAACUGCAUUCGAAACUAGCAGGCUAGAGUCUUGUAGAGGGGGGUAGAAUUCCAGGUGUAGCGAUGAAAUGCGUAGAGAUCUGGAGGAAUACCGGUGGCGAAGGCGGCCCCCUGGACAAAGACUGACGCUCAGGUGCGAAAGCGUGGGGAGCAAACAGG